rnacentral:tRNA from 1 species
GCGCCGGUGGUGUAAUGGCGCAGAGCAUUCCUGCCCGAGCAGCAAAAGGUGCGGGUUCCAAUCCCACCUGGCGCA